GACGAACGCUGGCGGCGUGCUUAACACAUGCAAGUCGAACGGAAAGGCCCUGCUUUUGUGGGGUGCUCGAGUGGCGAACGGGUGAGUAACACGUGAGUAACCUGCCCUUGACUUUGGGAUAACUUCAGGAAACUGGGGCUAAUACCGGAUAGGAGCUCCUGCUGCAUGGUGGGGGUUGGAAAGUUUCGGCGGUUGGGGAUGGACUCGCGGCUUAUCAGCUUGUUGGUGGGGUAGUGGCUUACCAAGGCUUUGACGGGUAGCCGGCCUGAGAGGGUGACCGGCAAGAGGGGGCAAGAGAGAAGGGCGCGAGGGAGACGGGAGGCAGAAGUGGGGAAGCUUGCAGAAUGGGCGGGAGUCGGAGGCAGCAACGGCGGGUGCGGGAGGGAGGGGUGCGGGGGGGAGAACGCGGUCGGGGGGGAAGAAGCGGGAGUGAGGGUAAGGGGUAAAGAAGCACGGGCUAAGUUCGUG
rnacentral:rRNA from 1 species